CCAAGGAGUCUAACAUGUGCGCGAGUCGCAGGGAACUCGCAAAAAAUUACGAAAACCCGUACGGCGAAAUGAAAGUGAAGGUCGCGCCGGCUCGUCCGGCCGACCGAGGCGGGAUCCUCUCGGGAAGUCGCCCUUGGCGGGCUGGCUCCCGGAGGCGCACCGCCGGCCCGUCUCGAACGCUUCUUGUCGGCGAGGCGGAGCCAGAGCGCACACGUUGGGACCCGAAAGAUGGUGAACUAUGCUCGGGCAGGACGAAGCCAGAGGAAACUCUGGUGGAGGUCCGCAGCGAUUCUGACGUGCAAAUCGAUCGUCAGACCCGUGUAUAGGGGCGAAAGACUAAUCGAACCGUCUA
rnacentral:rRNA from 1 species